UGCUGCAGUUUACCAAUAAGUAGGGUUUUUUCUUUCACCUCGUGCUCCAAAUCAGAGACCCUUGAAAGCCUUUUCUGUGUAGCAUCUAACUCAUUUUGCAAAUCUUCGUACUCUUUUGAUUUAGAAGCGAAUUUCUCAGUCACGUCGUCCAUGGCCUUCUGCCAAUUUCUGGUAAGUUCACCGAGGUUUUCAGUAUGGGAAGCUUUGGUGGAUUCUAAUUCAAUUUCUAGUUGAUGCUGAUUUGUCAAAUGACGUUGAAUUUCAACUUCAUACUGCUCUUGUCUUUCAGUUUCUCUAGCUAGCUGCUCUUCACAAUCUGCCAAUCGAACGGCCAAUGAUUCUUGCAUCUCAUGUUCAUCUCUGGCUCUUCUUUCCCAUUGUUUUGAUUGAGUCGAUAACAAUUGAUUUUCUUCAACAAGCGAAGCAUUUUGCUGUCUCAAAUCUGUUAUAUCUUGCGUUAAGCUUUCUACUUGUGCGGUCAAGGUUACGGUUUCUUCAUUGCUCAACUUAAGUGCUUCCUCUGCAUCGCCCAAAGACUUUUCGAGCUCUUGAAUUCGUUUUCGAUUUUGAGCUAACUCUUGAGAAUCCUUCUUAAGCCUUUCUCCCAACGUUGACUUAAUUCCCGAGACCUUCCCGAGUAAAUUAGAGUGUUGCUGCUUCAAUGAGUUAUAAGAAUUCUUUAAUGUUUGAUAAGCUUCCUCCUUCUCCGCCAAUUUCUUGAAAGAUUCUGAACAUUCUAAAUGUUCAUCGUUUUCUUUCAAAACUCCGCCUUUUUCAUUCAAUUUGAGCUCAUUUUUUUCAUCUUCUAAGUUCAAACGACUUAAAUCCUCUUGUAAAUUCUCAUUUUCCACCAAUUUUGUUUCAUUUCCUGCAUUUUCUGCCAUUCCAGAAAUUAUGGGAAAUUGAAUUAGUGAGCUCUAGAGUGGCCCUAAAACAUCCAUCUUUUCGUAAACAUUUCCAUAAACCUCGAUAAUAUUCCUUUAACUUGGUUUACGAAAUACUAAACCUUUUGCUUUAAAAUUUGUU